UCAGCUCAGCCUGUCUUCUGGGAAGAGUUCCCUGAGCUGAGGGCAGGGGAGAGUCCUUUUAUGUUCUCAAAGUUCCCUGUGCACCCCUCUGCACAAUGCUGGUCACGCUGCUGUCGGCAUCUGUUUCUGUGUCUCUCCCACCGAACUACAAACUUCUGGAGGACAGGAGCCACACCUGACCCCUUUCGGGUGCCCGGAGUCCAGCAUGGGCCUGGCCCUGGGUGGACAGCAUCUGUCUAUUGAAUGAACACAGCAACAGAUGCUAGCGUGUCAGUCCCCAGGGCUGAUGCAGUAACAAUGGCCCAGAGAGAGCAGGGGUACCCUGAGCAUCCUUUCAGGGCAGAGCUAGACUUGGCUGGAAUUUUGGUGGCCAAGUAUCAACACGCCAGACGCCACCUCUUUUUUCCUCACUGCCGGGCCCUACGAGCUCCGUAGAUAAGAGAGUGGCCAUUCCUGAUUUUCAAGAGGCCAAGAAGCUCGUGCAGAUGGUAGAUGGUGAGGCUGGGGUGAGACUCCACGUGACCCAUGGCCAUUGCCACAGAGGACUCAAAUACAGAGGCCUGCAGGGGCCGUGCAGGUGACCUAACUGUGUGAAGGACCGGGUGACGAUAAAUGACAAGUUACACCUACUCCAUGUCGGGGAGAUGGCAGGGAGUAGCGGGACUGUGCUAACUUGGUGACAAACGGAGGCUUCAAGGAGGAUAUGCGAGUUGCCCUAGGUCACCCAGUGGGCAAGCGGCAAGGAAGAC